CAACGCUAGAGGAACUGAUUGGUGGUAGCAGGAGCACAGAAGCAGGCCUCGGAGUGUUUAAGGACACACACACUGAAUCCUCAUACACCCUCUGCUUCUUUAUUUACUGCAUUAUAGUAAGCUUUUAUUCAUUUUUAUUAGUGUAUAAGAGAACAAACACACACUGAAUCCUCAUACACCCUCUGCUUCUUUAUUUACUGCAUUAUGGUAAGCUUUUAUUCAUUUUUAUUAGUGUAUAAGAGAACAAACACACACUGAAUCCUCAUACACCCUCUGCUUCUUUAUUUACUGCAUUAUGGUGGGAGGAAACCGGAGAACCCGGAGGAAACCCAUGUGGACAUAAGAAGAACAAGUGAAGAAUAAAGAACCUGAGAAGAUAGCUGUCCAUAUGAUGGAACAAACCAGAAGCAGACAUACUGCAGAUACUGGUGAAAUUUUGUACUGAUGAUGACAAUAGUGAACAAAUUAGUGAUCACUGAUCUUGCUCCUGGAAAUCCAUCUUCCUACAGAAUUCAGGGCUGAAUUGCAUAAUCAAGUAGACUGAUAAUCUGGAGCAGGUGUGUUUACUUAUCAGGAUUUUUGGGUAGAAAAUUCCAGACAGCAUAGAAUGUCAGACGAAAUAGCUGAGUUUAGGCACAUAGGGGUCAUUUAUGGCAAUGGCAAAUGUAUUGUAACUCAGCAGUCACAUUUAUGUUCAUGACUUUUGGGAGCUGAGCCAAAAUGACCCAAAUUCAACUAAACAUAUCCACUACUUGUCUGGCAUUCCAAUUAGUGUAGAGUGGUCCAUACCA